rnacentral:rRNA from 1 species
UACGUAGGAGGCAAGCGUUAUCCGGAUUUACUGGGCGUAAAGCGUGUGCAGGCGGUUUGGUAAGUUGGAUGUGAAAUCUCCUGGCUCAACCAGGAGGUGUCGUUCAAAACUGCCAGACUCGAGGACGGUAGAGGAGAGUGGAAUUCCCGGUGUAGUGGUGAAAUGCGUAGAUAUCGGGAGGAACACCAGUGGCGAAGGCGGCUACCUGGACCAGCACUGACACUGAGGCACGAAAGCGUGGGGAGCAAACAGG